ACUUCGGUGCGCGCCUCCUGACUGACUGGUACCGUUUGUAUCUGCGAUCUUCGGCGAAUCAUCGACACCGUAUAUUAUGUAGUCUUCUCAGACUAUAGGGAUGGAGUCCCUAGCUAAAAUUAUUAACCAGUCAGUAGUUUAUUUGAAAGUACCUAGAGAAAUUUAGUAUUUUUUUAUAUUUUUUUAAAAUUAAUCGUGAUGACUUCCGUGGCUACCGCGAAUCGUGGUUCGAGUUUGCGGAGACGAGACGCCCUAUCCUGAGCGCCAGGACCAACACCCUGUUUUGACAGGGUUCCAAGUUUGGGGCAACCAAAAUCCUCUGCCAGAACCUCUGGAGUCGGUUCCUGAGCAGAAUUCAACAUCUUUAGGCCUACUACCUCCAUCACCGUCUACCUACAGCCCCGGGUGAUACCCGCAUAAUUCUAUCUUUUUAUUCACGAACUCAAAAAUAGUGUAACCCAGUUAAGACAGCGGACAGUAAAAAAGCAGUUCGAGGAGAAGAAAUUUAUAUUAUGUUUUGGAAGGACUAUAUGUACAACCUUUAAAGUUACCAAUGUUAAUUUCAUUCUUGUUUUUAAAUAUUUUAAUUUUUGUUAUACAUUCAGGGCCGGCCCUAUCGUAAAUAACGUUAAGGAAUAUCAUAUAAUAAGUGUAAUUGUGAGUUAUGUAAAUAAGGUCACUUAUCAAUGAAAAACAGACUUUACUAAGGAAAAUUUAAUCUAUAAAAAAGAAAGAACAAUGAUUAAUAAAAUAAGGAAGUCUAUAGACGUAACAGUUGUUUUUAUUUAUUUAAUAUAUAAUAACGAUCCUUUUACUCCCAAGUAUUUGUAGGGAGUUCCUAAAUUUUCUUUGUUUACUCCUAGUGUCGCCUCUGUUGUUGACUUUUAUAGUUAUUAAUUGAGGGCCCCAGUAAUCAAAGUUUCCAAAUCUUUUAACCUUAUUAUUUAAUUAUUCUUUAAGACACUUGGGGUAUUACAAAAUGGUAGCAGAGCAUGGUUACGUCUAUAGGCAUACCUAAGUUGAAAGGUCAUACCUAAAAUUAAAAUUAAAAAAAAGAAUUGAAUAAAAAAAAAAUUUAUAUUUUUUUUGUCACUUAGAAUAUUUUUGUAGUAAGUAAUUUGUGAACUGUCCGCUGAUACACAUAGUAGCUAAAUUGACCCUUGAAUUUUAAAAUUAUCAUAAGUUUUGCUGCACUUUGGUCUGGGUGCUUACAUCUGAGCGCGAGCCGAGAGGCAGCUGGCUGCCCACCCACGCGACUCAGCCCGCGCGCGUGGCUUAUCAACAGAGACGUGUCCGCUGGGCAAGAUACUCCCCCCCCAACUCCCCUUGUUAAAGGUGCUACGCGCCAAGGUCAGACCUGCCGGCUGACGUGACGUUCAUUGUAGGUACCCUGUUGUGCAAGCUAACCUGACAGCUUGUUACACCCGAGUACACUGUUCAUUUCCCGACGCGCGUAGUAAUAAUAAUAAUAAAUUAUGAAGGCACAUUCUUCCCACGCAAUAAGGCAAUUGUUUUAAUUAUAAGCUAUAUUUAAGUGUAUUUAUAAGUUUAAAGUAAGAGAUAAUUUUAAGAGGGUAGUGUUUUGUUUUGUGUAAUACUAUGAAUCCGGAAAGGAUGAUUACUCCGGAGCUAUUACUAGUAGAUGAAUUAAGUUACGAGUUGCAGUUGCGUAAUUUACCAACUACUGGAAAUGCGCAAGAGCUGCGAAAAAGGCUUCGAGCCGCAGUACGUGAUAAGUUACCUACCUCAGUACAUAAUCUAAAUUUAGAAAUACUCGAGGAAUUCAACAUAGCUUGCUCCAAAUUUUACGACAUAGCUGCUUUCGUAAGUUAUUCAGAUGUGGAAGAGAAUUUGCCCAAUGUAAAGCGACACAUUAUGCGAUUAGAGCAUGUCACCAGACGACUGGAAAAUCUUGUGGUACUUUCCGCAGAUGUGCUCAAUGGUGUUUAUCGAACAGAGCUAAAUCGUUGUCUGCAACAAACAAACGCCUUCCAAAUUAAAUUGAAAGCUAGGGCAGCUCAAUUAGAAACUCAACAGGACCUCCGGGCCAACAAUGCCCAGGCAGAAAACCUAGGAAUGGAAACAAUAGGAAAUGUAGAGAGUGAAAAUCCGGAAUUUCCUCAGGAAAUAAGGCAACCCGACACACAAGUAUCUUUGUGUCAAACAAGGCAGGUUCCACCCAUUUCAUCAACAUCAACAUCUCAAUCACUCAUCACGGUUUCAACCCCUCCCAUCCCAGCAGCCACCAUUCAAAUUCCCUCAGGCAUACAUGCUUCUACAGCUCCCAUCACCAGUGUCACAUUUUCCGGUAACUUGCCUGCAAAUCCACAUCCUUUAACACAACAAAAUUUGUUUUUCCCAUUCGCCACAAACCAGUCAUAUUUUAAUCCAUAUUCCCAGUUUCAUUCUUUAUUGACAUCCGGGCAAGGAACUCCGAUCCCUACCAUCCCCACCGCGCAAAUUGCACAUCCUUCACCCCCACCUCCGCCAUCAACGCAGAAUCAACCAGAAACAGCAUUACCAGUUACGCCAAGGGCGGCUGAGUAUAGCUGUUAUGGGAAAAUUGCCCAUCCAGUCGAGAGAUUACUUGUUGGUUUUCCAGAAACAAGUGGUCUUGACCCAGAUAAAUUAAUCGAAUUCAUAAGGCACUUACUUAAAAUCAGACAGAAAGGGGGCAUUCCUGACAAACAGUUGUUGGAGAUAGUUUUUCCCUACACCCAACCACCACUGAGUGAAAGAACGAGUCAAGCAAUAGAAAAUAGUUACUCUUUUGACAAAUACCACGAAGAAAUUUUGAAUUUUUUUAUACCUGCCAGACUUUUGACAAAUUACCGUUUGGAAUGGUACAACAGGCUACAGCGAAGUAAUGAAGCAUUGCCGCACUAUGUAGCAUCAAUCAGAGAAGCCGCGGCGGUUCUCAGAUUGGGCGUAUCAGAGAGCGAAAUAGUUAGUUGCAUAGUAGACGGACUAAAUCAGGCAGAGCGCUCACGCGCUGUUUUCCAGGCUAGGCCACGGAGUUUUGUAGAACUAGAUCAACUCUGUAUACAGGCCAUGAGUUACGAAAAUGCAGACACUCAGAGAAACAGGUCAGCGAAGUCCGUGGAUAAGCAUGAUUCUCAGGCAGAAACUGCAAAUAGUUUUCCAUACACGAAACAACAGAAUAGCCACCCACAACAGAAAACAAACUACUACAGAAAUAAUAAGUAUGGUUCAAACAAGAACAUACAACAACAAACACCUUUCUGUAAUUAUUGCAAGCAAACAGGACAUUACAUUGAGCAAUGUAACCACAAAAAUUUCAAACCAAAUUUCAACAAGGCAAAAAACGCGUAAGGCGGUGGCCAGGCAAAUUUCUACCUGGUCCACCUAAAACUUCAUCCGAGAGGAAUUUUUCUGUUCAUAAUGUGCAUACUAACGAAUCACAAAAACAAGAUGAAAAUCAAAAAAGGCAUAACACCGGAAAACAAAAACACAAGAAAAAUAAA